UACGUAGGGUGCGAGCGUUGUCCGGAAUUAUUGGGCGUAAAGAGCUCGUAGGCGGUUUGUCGCGUCGGCCGUGAAAACUUGGGGCUUAACCCCAAGCCUGCGGUCGAUACGGGCAGACUUGAGUUCGGCAGGGGAGACUGGAAUUCCUGGUGUAGCGGUGAAAUGCGCAGAUAUCAGGAAGAACACCAAUGGCGAAGGCAGUCUCUGGGACGGUACUGACGCUGAGACGCGAAAGCGUGGGGAGCGAACAGG
rnacentral:rRNA from 1 species